GGAGGAACCAUGGGAUCGCAAGACCUUGCGCUCAUUGAGCGGCCGAUGCCUGAUUAGCUAGUUGGUGAGGUAAAGGCUUACCAAGGCGACGAUCAGUAGCUGGUCUGAGAGGACGACCAGCCACACUGGGACUGAGACACAGCCCAGACUCCUACGGGAGGCAGCAGUGGGGAAUUUUGGACAAUGGGGGAAACCCUGAUCCAGCCAUGCCGCGUGAGUGAGGAAGGCCUUCGGGUUGUAAAGCUCUUUCAGCCGGAACGAAACGGUCACGGCUAAUACCUGUGACUACUGACGGUACCGGAAGAAGAAGCACCGGCUAACUACGUGCCAGCAGCCGCGGUAAUACGUAGGGUGCGAGCGUUAAUCGGAAUUACUGGGCGUAAAGCGUGCGCAGGCGGUUUUGUAAGUCUGAUGUGAAAUCCCCGGGCUUAACCUGGGAACUGCGUUUGAAACUACAAAGCUAGAAGGG
rnacentral:rRNA from 1 species